rnacentral:rRNA from 1 species
CGCAUUCAGUUGCCAUCGGUAAGGCCGGGCGACUCUGGAUGGACUGCCGGCGACAAGCCGGAGGAAGGUGGGGAUGACGUCAAGUCAUCAUGGCCCUUAUGUCCAGGGCGACACACGUGCUACAAUGGCCGGCACAACGGGAAGCGAAGGGGCGACCCUGAGCGGAUCCCCAUAAAAGCCGGUCCCAGUUCGGAUUGCAGUCUGCAACUCGACUGCAUGAAGUUGGAAUCGCUAGUAAUCGUGGAUCAGCCAAGCCGCGGUGAAUACGUUCCCGGGCCUU